rnacentral:lncRNA from 1 species
GGGAACUUAUUAGGAGGCACGUGUGUUUCCAGGAGGUGAGGGGACAGGAGAGAGGUGCACUGGAACUGGUUUCCCGAAUGUCAAGAGAGUUGCCUAACGCUUUGGAGGAAGGUAAGACUCCAAGAAACAAAACGAUUAAAGAACAGCCCACGAGGCACACAGUAAUGCACAACAUUAACAUGUGCUUUGGACGCUCCACAUGCUGUAGGGCACAGAAGAUGAGCCUGGCUCCACUGUUACCUACAGGGUGAGGUGUACAAUAUGUCAUACAGUCAGGCAGCUGUGCAGAGCUCUGACACACAUGCAGGAGGAGAGCGGGCAUCAAGUGGUGGGACUGGGAAACUCCAUGAAAACUCAUGGACACUGGGAUGGCAAUCGCAGGCCAAGCCUUGAAGGUCCUCAGAUCAAGGCCGAGAUCAAGCCUGGGGUGGGACAGGGCCUGCAAGAGAGAAGGAUGUGGGACCAACCAAGGGAACAAAGAGUUGUGGACCCCAGAGCAGACCAGUCCUCACAACAGCAGUGGGACCACCUCCCGAGGUUUCAAGCCAGGGGGUUGGACAGCAAGAGAAGGAAUGUAGCCUGCACCUAAUAUUGGAGCUGGGCAUGCAUUUUCCUGUAGAAGUAUGGAUUAUACACGGUCCUGGGGCCUACAGCAUAGUGUGUGCCGCUCUAUAAUACACUG